UCCGUCGACUUUAAAAAUCGUGAGGGUUCAAGUCCCUCUAUCCC
rnacentral:tRNA from 1 species